GGGGAUUUAGCUCAGUGGUAGAGCACUUGCCUAGCAAGCACAAGGCCCUGGGUUCGGUCCCCAGCCCUG
rnacentral:tRNA from 1 species